CGCGCAGGCGGUCGAUCAAGUCGAGUGUGAAAGCCCCCGGCUCAACUGGGGAGGGUCAUUCGAUACUGAUCGACUCGAAGGCAGGAGAGGGUAGUGGAAUUCCCGGUGUAGUGGUGAAAUGCGUAGAUAUCGGGAGGAACACCAGUGGCGAAGGCGACUACCUGGCCUGUCCUUGACGCUGAGGCGCGAAAGCUAGGGGAGCAAACG
rnacentral:rRNA from 1 species